rnacentral:rRNA from 1 species
CCUACGGGAGGCAGCAGUGAGGAAUAUUGGUCAAUGGGCGCGAGCCUGAACCAGCCAUGCCGCGUGAAGGAUGACUGCCCUACGGGUUGUAAACUUCUUUUAUAAAGGAAUAAAGUGUAGCACGUGUGCCUUUUUGUAUGUACUUUACGAAUAAGGCUCGGCUAACUCCGUGCCAGCAGCCGCGGUAAUACGGAGGAUCCGAGCGUUAUCCGGAUUUAUUGGGUUUAAAGGGAGCGUAGAUGGGUUGUUAAGUCAGUUGUGAAAUUUUGCGGCUCAACCGUAGAAUUGCAAUUGAUACUGGCAGUCUUGAGUACAGUUGAGGUAGGCGGAAUGCGUGGUGUAGCGGUGAAAUGCUUAGAUAUCACGAAGAACACCGAUUGCGAAGGCAGCUUACUAAACUAACACUGACAUUGAGGCGCGAAAGUGUGGGGAGCAAACAGGAUUAGAUACCCCUGUAGUC